UGCCAGUUUUAUUCUUGCUGUUUUGUUCAGUGUUGUCUUGCUUUAUAUGUAAGUUCUUGCGGGUUUUGUUGUCUUCUUGAUGGGGUUAUUAAGAGGAUUCAUUUUGUUAAUUCGCAUUAAUUGAUUUUAUAGAUCUUGGCUUCUUGGAUUUAGUAAUGACUUUUAGUGCUGGUUAAGUUUGUGCCAGCAGCCGCGGUUAUACAUUAGGCGCUAUUGAAUAUUCUUGGUUUUGCAGUUGUAUGUUCCUUUGAUGUAGGUUUUAGGGGUGUUAUUUUGUUGGGUGAAAUUUUUAUUUCUGUUUGUUUCCUUAUUCUUUUUUGUAAGCUGUGAGAUCUCUUUUGUAGACUAGGAUUAGAUACCCUAUUAUUUUUGAUGUUAAUUUUUUUUUUCCUGGGUAGUAUUAGUUAUGUUCUUGAAACUCAAAGAAUUUGGCGGUAUUCUAUUCCUUUCAGAGGAAUCUGCCCCUUGAUCGAUAAUCCACGUUGGACCUUUCUUAAUUUUUGUUUGUAUACCGCCGUUGUAAUGAAGAUCUUUUUAGUGUUGUUAAUUUUCUAGUUUCAUUAUUUUGGUUUAUUUCAGGUCAAGGUGCAAUUUGUUUUUAAGUGUGAGGUGGAUUACAAUAUAUUUUUGGAUUUUCGGAUUGUUAGUUGAAAUUUCUUAAUAUGAAGUUGGAUUUGAUUGUAAUUUAUUGAAGAUUGUUUGAAUGAUGUUGGUUCUAGAAUAUGUACACAUCGCCCGUCGCUCUCAUUGUUUUAGUUGAGAUAAGUCGUAACAUAGUGGUCGUACCGGAAGGUGUGGCUGGUUUGAU
rnacentral:ncRNA from 1 species